CUUGGAAGCGAAUUUGAUCGAGCCAUACCAUUUCCUGUUCCAUACUUUAAAAGACUUUCGAGGAUCUCCAGGUAUCCCCUGAACACCUUUGUGUUUGAGGUUUGUCUUCCUACUUGGGCUGUUAUCAUGAGUAGUUGAGUACUAAUAAUUGUUCACGAUUUUUGUUCAUUCUCCUGCUUAAAAUAUCGCACUCUUCCCUUUUGGAAGGAUUCUCCAUCAGGGAUAAAAGCUGAUGUGGUGACUGGGAUGCCUGUAGUAAGUCUGACAACAAGAAACCCGAAGCAGUUACUAAUGCAUGCAGGAGCCACCUUCCUCAUCAAAGAUUAAGAAGAUUCAAAGAUCUUGGCAGCACCGGAAGAGUUGGAGAGAGCAUCAGCAACUAAGAGAAUGGGUAAUACUUAAGAGUUAAGGUGGUAUACUUAUGCACUUGACUACUGUUUAAAAAAAAAAUAAGUGCACUCCACUGGCCAUAAGCAUUAAUAGGUUCAUUUUUCAUGUAUAUUUUAAAAUUCUUUCUUGUAUCCUGUGGAAUGUCUUUUAAUUUGUGAUUGCUUGCUAUAUCUCUCAAAAUGGAUAUAUGCAUGUUGGAAAAGUAUUUAGAGCUAUAUCAAACAAUUUUAGCCACCAACCUACAAUAUUAUUCAUCAUGUACCUCCAAUGCUGUGGGAAGCCAUGAAGAAUGGGCAAAAGAAUGACAAUAGAAGAACUGAAAGAAUGAGAUAAUUUACAAUCUCAAGAUUUUCAAGACGCUGCAGGUCAUCAUUUUAUCAUCGAUUUUAGCAUCACAAAGUUUCAAGAGUAAAGAGCAAAUUACCUACACCAAUCCUUCAUGCUUCUCUCUUCCUUUCCUGAGAAAUUACUUGAUCAAAUGUGAGAUGACACGACGUCGAAAGUCAACCUGGCUGCUCUCUCUCCAAAGAAAUCAGGGAGACUUACUGGGGGAUGAGGUCAUAGCAUGGGGGCUUAUUUGUCUCCAGACGGGUGCAAUAAAAAGUCGAGGUCUUUACCAGAAAGGUAUCAGUUAUCAGUUCCCCAUACUUCUCUCUUCCUUUGAAUACGGUUAUCUGCAUCCAAGUAAAUGUCAAGUCACAAGCCAUUUAUAAUAACGAGUUGCAAUCUCAAUAUCACCUGAUAACUUCAGAAAUAAGAGUGCCUGCUUCAACUGCUGGUGCAUGCACAUGUCCAUGCUCCACCCAAGACAACCAUUGUUAACCGUCAAGCAGCCCAGAUUCUCACACAGCAAAAUUAAACAUGGACGCCAAAACAAACUUGCUUCAUGCAUUUAUAUGCACAUGCUAGUAAAGAAUGAUUCUACCCAUGCUGGUCAAUUAGAUCCCCAAACUAUUCUGAAGUAAUCAAAUUUAUUAUAAGUGAUCACCCAUGAAUAGCAGCCACACUUAUCUUUUGCUAUUUUUGCCCUUGCAUGCCUAUAUAUGGACAAAUUGGUUAAUUUAUAUCGUUUUUUAUCUUUCCAUUUUUAAUAAUCUGAAUCCUUUGCUAGCCUUUUGUGAAUGCUUCCAGAAGUAGAAUGCUACCCUUCAAUACAGGAAUCAAAAUAGAAUGUUUUGUCAUAUAAUAUACAAGCUUUCUGUCACAUAAGGAAAAUGUAGGAUGUGCAAUAUAACACUGAUUGGCAAAGAAAUGAUAUAUGAAAUUGCACAGCAUGUAUGUAACAAAACCAGUAAUAGACAAAGAAAGGUUUUGAAUAAAAUCUCCACUUGCACUACCCCAAUUAUACAAUAUAAGGCAAAUGUUACACCAUUGACUCAUCCUCAUCUGGCCCACGAUACUGCCUCAAUUUCAUCCCUUGCAGACUUAUACAAUUCAAGCCUCUUAGCACAUUGCAGCCGGCGCUCCAUCAAUGCUGGAUCCUCAUCCAAUAGCUGUGCAAGCUGCUUGCCCUGCAUAAAAGAGCAUAGUAAUUAUGCCAAUUGAAGUGAAGGAAGUGGCUGUACAUACAGGCAAGCAUGGAAGAGAACCUCUUUUUUCCCCACUACUGUAUAGAAAUGAUUGAGUAAAGAUCGCUUAGCUUCUCGAACUUGACAAUAGACCGCUGCCUUUGGAAUGGAGUUCUUGAGCAUUUCUGACACCAUCCCUAUGUAGGAGGAAACAUUUGAUGCUAUCCUCCUGAAAUGUCCAUCAGUGUAUCGAUCAACAGUGGGUCCCGUAGGAUUCCCUCCCUUCUCCACUUCCUGUGGGAGCUUCCGGAAGAAAUCUACUGUUAAAUAUGACGACUCCAUGUCAACCAACCGCAACACUGUUUUAUGGCUAUCUUCACGGAAUCUUUCCAAGGCUUCAUAAGACGCAGCUGCUAGUUCACUUUGGAGAGUGGGAAACCUUUUCAACUCCUGGUAUUUAAAGAAUUAGUGUGACAUGUUUUUCAGAGUGACAAUGAUCAAGAUGGUUGAAUAAAAAUGCUUAGCACUGACCUGGGUCUCUCCUAUUGACUUCCUUACCAACUCCUUCAACACAUAGUGCACCUGCAAUAAGAAUCAGGAAUGCAGCUAGAAUCAAUUCCUAACCUGAGUACAAGACAAAAUCAUACAGAAAUUGUAGAACUGAUGCAUCUUACAGCAUCCACUGAUGCUUCUGCUGGGCCACGAAAAUAACUGAGUGCACUCUCAAUUAGGCGACGGUAACCUUGCUCAGGAGCAAUUAGAUGUGGCUGAUAACCAUCUGCUUCUGAGACCACUUUCUUCACAUUUUGAAUAGAAAGAUACCGGUCAAAUGGAAGUUUCUUAAGGGCAACAGGGAGUUGAUUGUCAAAAACUCCAUAUAUUCUAUCACCACCUGGUCGCCUGUGAUUUGUAUUGCAUACAUCUCAGAAGCCAAUCAUAAGUUGUAUUUUUUGACUAUCAAGUAUUGAUGAUUAUCACACAAACAAUAAAACAAUAUUUAGUGAAUUCUGAAAAAAUCAACUAAUUUCACAUUUUAAAGCAAAGAUUUUUUUUUCUUUUUUUCUUUUGGCUCUUGCACAAGGAUUUAAGUGUUGAUGGCAUGGGAUAUGAUGGCCGCUGGCUGGAGCAAACCCUUCUAUAUGGUUUGAGGUUGAAUGGUUCAACAUAUAAAUCAUGACUUACAUGAAUUUCAACAGUAAAACAUAUAUAUUGUUUUUUUCUUUCGAGAAACCUUCUCUAUUAUCGAGGUUUACAAUUUGAUUUUGUAAAUCCACAAAUACUGUAAUGCAGCUUCCCCAACAACCAAUCAAGCAAACAUCAUCCUAGGAUCCAUACAUUGUCUUGGCAACCAAAACAUGUCAAUCUAAGCAUUUCAAAGAAAUGCAGCACCUGCCCAAUAAUGAAACUAAAGCAAGCAAUUAGCUUGCUUCAAACAUUGUGAAUCAUGAGUAGCAUGAUCAGUUCUUCCUCCAUCCCUCCAUCUAGACAUGUGAACCACAUCCGUGUGCCCAUAUCAUGUGUCAAACCGUGUAGUCAGGACAGAGUCCAAACACAACUACAGAGCACGACAUGCACAAUACGUUUGUGUAAGACUUGCAUGGCAAAAGCUCGUUAAAGCCAAACGUCAGAGAAAAGAAUAAACAAAUUUAAGGUCAUUACCCUCCAUCUAGAUGCUCUUUGAAUAUUUUGUCAAAUGCACGACAAAGUUCCAAUAUGGUGUACAAUUGAGCCUGAAGAAAAAACAUAAAUGUGUAUAAUUCCAAUAAUAAUAUUUUAACUUCAUCAAAUUUCCAAACUCCAAUAAUUCAUAUGCAUAUAAAUGCCUCACCCCUGCAUCAACGGCAAUGGGUCUACCAAGAUGGUCCAUCUCUGAUUCUAGUUCAUCAAUGCUUUUAUUUAUCAAGGAUGUGAUACUUGGAAUACGUGCCCUGAUUGCAGACUCCAGAUGCUGAAAUUCAAGUCCAUAAUUAAGAAUGAUGCACUCUCCAAGAUCUCAAACAAACAUACACCUGUCAAAGUGAACAAGCCAAAAUAUGUUACCUUUGAAAGAAGUUUAGCAAGAUACUCUGAACCCAUUUUACUGGCCAAGUGUGAGUAGUCAGGACUAGUUGCAAAGUACUCCUUUUCCCUUCGCCUGGCGACUAUCAUGUUGACGUUCUUAUUAAUAUCUGCUUGCGAACGGUUAACAAUACCAACCCAAGGGUGCUGCAGCCUAUAGGAUCUUCCUUCAAGAACCUUUAAAGCAAGCAAUAAUGGGAUUAGCAAUGGUAAACACAUGUUAAGGUUUACAGGAAAAACCAUCGAGAAGCUCUAUUCAAAUUUAUUUUCUCAAUUUUUAAACGUUCUCAAUUUUUAAAUGUUCUCAAUUGAGCACAAGGAAAUUAAACCUACAUCAAGUGCAUUUGUCCCCUUAUCCAUCAGAUCAAGCUUUGUCAACACUCCAAAAGUUCUUUCACCUAACCAAAGUUCAAAUGAAGCCCAUUACGGAAGAGAAAGACUGACUUUCACAAAAUGAUUUCCACACACCAUAAAAAUGUAUUAUCAUCAUCAAAUGUGCCAAUUACAAAAAUAAUAGUAAUAGCAUCAUGAUCAGCAUCAUAUUUGAUACUGAAUUUACCGUUUUUGCUGUUAAUGUUGCAUUGUACCUGUCGGAUCUACUUCCCGGGCAAGUUUAAUGGCGUCAGAUGUUGCAAUGUCUUGAUUGGCAGGAGAUAUUGCCAGUAUAAUGCAAUUGGGCUGCAAAAGAAAACAAAUACAAUAUUAUGUAAAGUAAUCAUAUUUUGCAUUAUUUAAGAAAGAGAAAUCAUUCAAAACUCAAAUGAUACCGAACAUGCAAAGUUUUCAUUAAUAAAUGAAGUCCGAUAUUUCAGAAUAUGUUUAUCCAUAUUGAGGGUAAUAACUUAGGAAAUAUGAUUUUACAUUACACAAACAGUUAAGCGAAAAGACAAGCUGUUAUGUAUAUAAUGCUGCAUUUCUUUCACUAUACAUGAUAAAAAAAAUAGAUAAAUCUUUACAAUCUUAUCCGUGAUGAUAAACAUGAUAGCCUGUCAUUAUCAAUCAAAACAGACAGAUAUUAACAAGAUAUGAAUUAUGAAAAUUAUCCAUUAACAUAAUUCAGGAUUUCUAUUGCAAAGGUACAACCACUGAAGUCAGAAAUUUUAAUUGAUUCUUGUGCCUCGUCACUAAGCCGGACAGAUACAAGGUUUCUUGGCCAGAAAACAAGUUCAGGGCAACAAAAACCACAAAACCACUUCUACCUACUCAUCCCGCUUCCCUUAACAACCCAAUAAAAAAAUAGAUAUGUACAUAAUAUUAAAUAUAUGUAUGUAUCCAUGUAUAAAAAUCCAUUAUAGUAUGUAGUCAUGAAGUGUUAUCUUAUCAAUUUGGGGACUUAGUUAAUAUAUGACUCGGAUAGCUUAGUUCAAAAAAAUAAAGAAAAAGCUGACUGCAAAUGCAGAUGAAUGUGCCACCAACAACACAUGAUUUUUUUUUGAAUCCCUCAUGGCUGUCAAAAACCAGAAAAUGAAUUACUCUUAGAGGCAAAGAAGCAAUAUCAUAAUGACCAAGUUGAUAAAACUUCUACUUAUGUGCACAAGGUGCAUUAGUUAAUUAGCUAAGUAGAACAUCACAGUCCUGACAACAGAAGCAUAACUCAAACAACCUAAAAAUUACUAUUUGUACUUUUUCCUAUGGGAAUUAUACAUGUUAUAUCAUGCAUCUUCUGGUGAUAUGACAUACCUUCUCAACAUAUAAGCGAACCAUAUUUUCAAUCUCUUGAACAAUGCUUUCAGGUUGCCCCUCUGCAAAAGACAACAUUAUCCAUAUUGACUACUGAAAAAUUAAGUUUUUUUAUACAUUAAAGACAUAGCUAAGCCACAAGUAUAUAUAGUAUGUACCUACAGCAACCUUUGUCAGACCAGGUAGAUCAAUCAGUGUAAGGUUCACAACUGCCACAAUCAAACUAAUCAUUAAAUACUGCCAAGAUCUGACAUAUAUGGACCAAGAAAUCUAUAACAGACCCAGAAAUCUGAACAUGCAUAAAACAUAACAAAGAUAAAACAUACUACAAAGAUUUAUCAUCAAGCAGAAAAACCUAAUGCAUAGAUACAAGGAACAAAAUCAACAAUAUGCACAGAAUAUCUGCAGCAUUCAAUGAUCAAGAUCUACUUCAGUCAAGUUGGCAAUAUAAAAAACAUGAGAUUGAGAUUUGAGCAAUUCCUAGUUAAUUAUAGCUGUUUUAGUUUGUAAGGAAAGGUAACAAACUUAGUUUAGUAAUUACCAAAGAAAUUAGUUACUUACAAAGAGGGACACUGGCAAGGUUCGCCGUCUCGGUACCGGACCCGUACCGGUAACACAUUAGCACAGUAUCGGUACAGUACGAUACGAAUUUUUUUGGUACUGUAUAUGAAAUUCUUUUGGCGUACCAACGCUCGUUACACCACCUGUAUCGGGUACCAGUACCGAAUUAGUACGGUACAGUCUGUACUGCUAGGUUCAGACCAGUACGGCAUACUAUGGACACAGGGACAUCCAGUUCAACUUCAACAUGCAACUCACUCUUGCUAAGAAUACUACAAAAUGUUCAACAAUGACUAUUGCUAGAAUUAUUGGUAGACAGGCCGGUAUGCAGGAUCUUCAUAUGAUUAAUGUGGUAACAGUCUAGUAGAUAGCUUUGAAUGCUUUCACUAAGCCAGCAGAAAUUGAAUCACUGAUUGCUUGCAUCUUCUCUCAAUUCUGAAGCAUGAAAAGUGCAAUUGCACAACUCUGUUCCCUAUGGUUGUUCCUCUCUUUCUUGAUAAGCACCAUACAUAUGCCAAUUGAAGAACUACUGCAACAUUACAUGCAUAAAACACCUAAAAUAUUUACAACAUAAGAAAGCUUCACCAAAAGCUUCUACAACAUCAAUCCAACAGCUGAAAACAAAUAAUUGCAGACUCAUUUGGUUGCAGGAAGAGGAGGGGGGAAAGCAUGGUCAACGAGAAAAUGGAGAAAGGCCUCAUGUUUGGUUUGAGUUUUCAAAAGAGAAAGAUGGAAAAAUAGCAUUACUAUGGGAAUAUAGUUUCCGCGUUUCAGAAAAAGAAAAACCCAUGUGAGACAUAGAAAAGUCCAAUUCCCACCGAUUGGGAAUUGAGUUAUUUUUUUUCUAAAUGUGCCCUUAAGCUUUUAAAUAGAAUGGGGUAAGAUCUUUCCUUUAUUGAGGAUAUAACAGAUAUUUACACAACUUUCACAGGAAAUUUGAUGCUCAACCAAACAUAAGCCACUCGAAUCUUAUACCCAGGCAUUAGCUUCUCAGAAGAAAUAUUCUAGUGAUGAGAAAUUCUUCCCGUGAACCAAAUGAAUCUUGCAAGUAAUGAAAAGUAAGGAUAAGAGCUUUCCAACCACAAUUAAUAUAUAUACUUCAAGAAAAGCAUCAGUUCCUAGCCAAUGUCCCAAAGAGUUUAUAAAUAAUUAUAUGACAUCUUAAUCUUAGCCAAGUUAAUCGAUGCAGAAAACAAUACCUUAUCACAUUAUUUAAGUUAAACAUGAUUAAUGAAACAAUGUUAUAGUGCAAAUAAUAACACUGUCAGAAGAUUGUCCAAAAUUGAGGAAAGUACACCUGGAAAUCAAAAAAAAAGGAAAAAAAACUUAAACAUAUUCAUUUUAAUAUUGAAAUGUUGCUCCUGGUUCGCAUGAGUUCAGACUGUAUGCCCAAUAAGGUCAUGGUUCACAUGAGCAUUAUAUCAUAUACAUUGCUAACCAAAAGGUACGUACCCAUAAAGUAAAAGAAAAUAUUCGACAAUGUCUAUACCAUUUGGUGAAUAAAUGCUGAGAUGAAUGGGAAUAGGAGAAAUUUGUUUCGUUUUGCCUGUAAGUCUAUCAGUUUCAUCUUGAAUUUCCUUGCGCACAAGAGCUACAAAAAAAAGUAAAUAUUAGAAGACAAUUUGAUUUACAUAUGAUUUAUUAAGGGAAAACAAGAAUUGCAGAUAAAUAAUUCAUAUUGUGCUCUUGGCCGCACAUUUGGAAUUAGCCCAAAUUUCUCAUCAACUUACAUAUAAUUAGAACCAUACUAUGAAAUUUAGCAGUCCAAAGGGCGAGAUAUUUUAAAUGUUCAUGCAAGUCACAUGUUAUGUUUAAAGCUGCAAGUGAGUUAAGAAGAUCAAUGACAUUGCAAGAAAGAUUAGCCAUCUCAAUACCGAACCCCAUAUAGGUACCAUCCUAAUACAAUAUCAGUAAGCCCAAUAUCCAGGUUGGUUCGGUGUUCCAACAGCCGAUACGCCUCCCAUAUCACAUAUCAGUUAGGCAUCAACACAGUACAGUACGAUUGGUAUGUAUCGGUACCGACUGGUAUGGCAUACCAUGGUUGCAAGCUCCAGAAGUUUUGCACUUAAGCAAGACCAGAAAUCCAGACCUAAUAUCUAGACUAUUAUUAAAACUAAGAUGUAGACCUAAUUUGAUUAGGAAUCAGUAAAAUUCUAGCCCUACAUAGUUGGAUCUGAACUUAUUCAAAUUCAAUUGGACAUAAUCCAAACUCAAUAUACAGAAUCUCGGUUAUACUAAAGCAGCUAGAAGCAAUGGCAGAAAAAGAGUAAAUUGGGCAUUGAAGAGAGAGAAAGUAGUGUUCUCAUGACAUGAUAGAGAUUACAAAAAAAAAAAAAGAAUGAAUGUGAAUACUGCUAGAAGGUAAAUUAUAGGAACAAUCAAAAAUUUACCUUAGCUUUUUGCAUUGGCUAUUUCCAUAUAGAACAUGUGGCAAAAAUGAAAGGAGCAAUAAUUAGUAAACACUGACUCAGAAAAACGUAACAUAAUAAGAGGUCUCCAAAACCAUUAUAACAACGAGCAUAUCAUUAUCAUGGCUGUUAUUUUAAAACCUGACUAAAGCAGUAACAAACAUUAGAGGCUGGGCAUAACCAUAACAUUAUUUUGUCCUUUAGCUUUAAGUUCUGGAUGUUCUUACUGUCAUCAGUAAAAGAAAAGAUUCUUGAAUCUGGUUCAAGAAUUUGUGUCACCCUUUUCUUAUUCUAUCUUACCCCACCCCACCCCACCCCACCCCACCCCCCCCAAAAAAAAACUACCUCAAUUAAUUUUAGAUGGAUAAACCAACAAAAGAAGGGGGAAAAAGGAUCAGCCCCCGUUUUUCUACAUUCUACUACAGUUAUUCCAAUCAGUAUUUCCUCAUCAUUGAAUGUAUUUCACUGUACUCUAGCUUAUUAUAGACCUAAUAAAAUAUGCUUCGAUGCUGUACUUUCCAAGCAUAAGCUGAAUCGCGCCUUUUGGGCAUAUAGGUCUGCCACUUUCACUUAUGAAACAAUCAUUAUGUUGACAACAAAAAUUAUCAGUCUACAACGUUUAAUAUUCUUUUCUUUUUGAUAAAAGGUGUUACCGCCCCACCCCCACCCAGCCACUUGAGUGCAAGUAGGAUUCAGACCCAGGUCACUGGGUACCAUAGUCCAAUGACUUGACCAACUAUACUAGUUGGCACUCACACCUUACAUGUUCAUCUCGAGGGCCAGAUAUGUGAGGUCAUGUAGAUGGUUGAUCCUCCAUUCACCUUCAGGUAGUGCUACCAAGUUUCCUUUGACUACAUGAAGUCAAUUGCUAAGUAAGACUAGUGCUCCAAAAGACAGCUUAGGCAAUCACAUAGGCAAUCCUUUAAGUGGCCACAAAUUACUCUUGGCAGCAUGUGCACAUGGUAGUGUUACAAGCAACACCUAGCAUGUCAAAAUGUUGUAGAGAUCAAUUUAAUUUUCAGACAUUUUUCCCUCAGAAGGCCAGUUGUUUUAAUAAGUUCAGUUCUCUGAAAAAUUGCAUAGAUGGCUGCUUAGACACCCACUUAAUUGGUGCAUAGAUACCCCACAGACUGGGCACAGAGCACCUUAAAUAGGACCUUGCAUUCUACCUCGGCAGCUUCAACCCAUUUAAACAAGCACUUAAACAAUAUCUCCUGAUUUAUCCAAUGCAAAGAUAAACUGAUGUGGAUUGAUGUAGCUAAAAGUGGGACAAGUCCUAAGGAUUUAUAAUCCUCUGAUAAAACCAGGUACUACUUCUCCAUAGUAUAUAUAACAAAUGCCAUUAAAACUUCAACUUCUAUCAGGUUCCAAAAGAAAACAGAUCAAAAACAUCUAAUGCAGCAAAAGCACUAAAUUUGAAAUUAAAGGAUAAGCUUUGGUGAAAUACAACUAGGCAAGCAUUGAACUGAAGCAUUGUAUGAAUAGACUGAUAUGAAUAAAAAUACAAACAAGGCACAUAUGGAGGUACGACCUUGAAAAAAGAAGAAGAAGAAGAAGAAGAACUAAGAGUUGUGUUCAAAGGAACAUGGAAAUAUUACGAUAAUGGAAUAGGAAACUAAGGAAGAAUGUGAAAAUGUCAACUAUAAUUCAAAAUCAAGAUGCAAAAAUGUAAAUUAUAUGAUUAUAAUUUAUAAAUUAAGAAAGAAUGCAAAAAAGUCACAAUAAAGAAGGCUAUGAAGCUGAUGAAUCCAAACCAUUAGACCACAUGCUAACGCAGAAUGGCACAUGAUUCUGAAUAAUGUUUAUGUCACCUCUACUUAAGACUAUUGAUUGGAAUCCGUUUAAACAUCACAUCACUGAUGGCUGUUCCUAUAAGCCAGAUCCAUUUAGUCUCUAAGACAAACAACUGGUCAAUAAUUACCGAAUACCCGUUUUCUGGAUUAGUAAUCAUCCAGAAGAAGUGAUUGAAUUAAAGUUGCAGCACCAGAAAGAAAAAGACUGGCACUACUGCUCAAGGUUGAGCAAGACCAUCAAAAAACUGCAAGCAUGCUAAUAUCACAAGAUGCCUCACACUUAUGCAUGGAUUUUGAGCUUCAACCACUUUGUAUCAAUUCAGAGAGUCAAUAAUUUAAACACAUCAAUUCAAACAGUCAACAAUUUUGCGGCUGCACUUUCUCUCAAACCAUAAAGUUUUUUUUAAAAAAACGCACUUUUAUCUAUGUAAAGCCUAAAACUGUCGAAGUCUAGCCAAACACUUCGAAAUAUCCCCAUAAGCAAUUCAUAUCAACGGGAACAAGAUCAAGAAACUAUAAAGCAGCUCUGACAGAAUCUUCUCUUCGAGCAAAAGGAAUCAGGUAGAAGUUCUUAGCAACGAAUACAACUCACAGAAAUCCGUGAACCUCCUUUUCGGCAAGUGAAGGAACUCCGCAUACUCCGCCUUCCCUUCCUCCGUCUUAUGUAGCUGGAGCACCAGAGGCCGCCUCGUCACAAUCCCUUCAGCAUGGGAAAAAAGAAGAUAACGUCUUAAAUUUUAUACUUAAAUCAGUAAUUAGAAAAUUAAAAGAGAGAAAUUGAAGCGCACGAGAACCAAGAUCCGAGGACUCUAACCAGAUCCACGUGGAAGGAAAUCGCGCCCGACAAUGCUCUCCAAGACCGACGAUUUCCCAGAGCUCUGAGCUCGAAGCGGACCAAGAUCGAAGUCAGAAGAGUAAAAAACGAACAGAAAGAUCUGUGCCUACGCUAUAGAUCACUUGAGAAGAGAGUGAUUUCUGAGGCAAAGAGCACCUGUCCUCCGACGACGGCGACGGAAGGGAGCGCCUCCCAGAGCGUAGGGAGGGCGCCGUCGGCGCCGCCGUGGUCGCCGAGGACCGUGCAGGCCCUCUGGAUCCGGUUCACGAGACCGAUCAAGCUCUCCAUUGUCGCCAUCUCCGAAGCCGAACCCUAAUUCUAACCCUAGCCCUAACCCUAGAAUUCGAAAGGGGAGAAGAAGAAGAAGGAUUGAGAGAGAGAGAGCGUUCAGGUGGAAAGUCGCUUGCUGUGGCCGGUGGUGGAAAGUGUUGGUUUCUGUUCGUAUCUCUAAUUGCUUUAAUUCCCACUCUCUUCUCUUAUUUCCCGUUAUGUCCCUUUCUCUUUAUGGUACCUUCCAGGAUUUGAGGGAGAUUUUGGGAAAUUCGACGGUCUGUUAAAAUAUAUAAGCCGGUGCGCCCGUGAGGGCUCGGGAUGGAUGGACGGGGCUUUCAAAUGUUGUCAAAUGUUUUCAAACGUGGUGGUGUUUUCAAAUGUUUUCAAAUUUCCACGUUGGGCCUUUGGGCCGGGGAAGGAUUGUUCCCAAAUCCCAGAUUGGCUGCGGCUUCUUUACGCUCUCCGACGGCGGAGGCCGAUGGAGCUGAUCAUUGCUGUACGGCCCAAAAGAAUAUUACCGAGCCCGUUAGUCUGAUUUGGUUGAUUCCAUCGAAGCUUAGAUCAACUUGACUUUCAAGUUGACUUUAAUGCUAAUUAUAUCCUAAUAUUAGUGUAUAUAAAAUUUGAGGCCAGCUUCAUUUGAUUGUUUCCCCAAAGAAAAAGAAUACGGAAUCAUGUACAUGCUUUUUCCUUUUUACAAAAGAAAAAAAAUCAUGAGUUUCCAUUUAAAGCUUAGACUCUAAUAAAUGUAAAAAAAGCUUACUUUGUGUGAGGAUCAGUGCGGACGUGUGUUUAGUCCUAUAUCGGUUACUCGCUGGGUAGAUUUUAGGUAUUUAUACAUGAUCAAGGAACCCAAAUAAUACCUUUCGAUUAGAUAUUUUGGGUGAGGUCCUGAGUUGUUACAAAUGGUAUCAGAGCGGACCUGGUCUAUAACCUAUGUGGACUAGGAGACACUGCAGCACGGAUCUAUUGGAGCUGACCAUCGACCGAUCAUAGUAUUUGUGAUUAGAUUUGAAUGAAUUUGAACCCUUAACAUGACGAGGACUUCAAGACCUGAACAGAUGGAGUAUAUGAGGAUCCAUAUGGGCGUGUGUUUAGUCUCACAUCGGUUAUCUGCUGGGUAGAUCUUGGGUACUUAUACAAGAUCAAGCAAUCCAAAUAAUAUCUUCUGACUAGCCAUUUUGGAUGAGGUCUUGAGUUGUGACACUUUGGAACGGUCCAUUUUUGCAUGAAUCCAUUAUUAGAUCAUGCAUUGAUCAUUUUUGAGAUAAAUGAAAGCAGAUACGUGCAGACAAAUAAAAACAAAAGUCAGAAUGCUUUGAGAUCUAAGCAGUAGAUAAUCCAAUGGCGGACAGCCACAAAAGAAGAUGAAUCGUUCUUUCGCCGAAAGAUACAACCUUGGUCCUUUUAGAAGGUAUAUAAUCCAAUUUUGUAUAACUUAGCCAUCCAACCAAAUAAAAAAAAAUCCAAACUAGUCAACCCAUUAGCAUUCAAAGUUCCAUCAAGCGAAGGCUCAUAUUUCUUACAUAACCAUAUUGCAUCAAUCGAAGUGAAGGCUCGAUUUUCGUUAACUAGAUCGACUUUCUACUCCAAAGAUUUUGGCUUGAUGCUCUGCAAUCCAUGGCUUAGACAUAAAAGAGAAGACAAAAAAAAUUGGCGCUUACAAGAAUCACAUACUCUUGGAGUAAUCUAAUGCACGCAUCCUCCUACAUUUUCUUCAUUCCACCUUUUUUUCAUCAAAGAAAGGGGUUUUGUACCAAAAAGAACAAAAAGAGAGAGACAGAUACAGGGAGAAAAGGAGGUUAAAAUUAAAGAAAGGUGUGGAGUGGAUAGACAAAGGCUGAGUUGGUGACCUGUGAUCUGCAAAGAAGUUGAUGUCUGAGCCAAGUUGGAGAACACUAUCCCUUGAAGAAUAGUUUCAUAUGGGAUAACUUCAGAAGCUCAUCAAUCUAAUCAGACCCAAUAUAAAAAUGGCUCCAGAAUUUCUCAGUGCAAAUCCGACCAAAGCGUGGGUUCUGUUGGCCCAGCCAACCAAGCCCAAACUGUGAGCUAGGACCUGGUUUCAGUCUGGCUUAACCCAUCUAGACAUCGUCCAUCUGAUUCAACCGGGAAUAUUUCAUACAAGGACAAGAUUAGAUCACAGAGACGAAUAUAUUCUCUUAGUUGAUCGAGUACUUGGGGCUCAAACCCUAUACGUAUCACUACUUUGAAUUCAAAAUUCAAAUAGAGAUCAAGGCAUUACUUGACAAGAGACAAAGCAUGUGCUCUUAUCAUUCAUGCCAUCUACCGAGUGCUUCUAAAUGACGCUCUCUAGGAUGCAUUCCUCUGCCUCUGGGCUCAGCAUUUGGCUUGUAGAGCGAGCUUUGAGACAAACAUUUUGGUUAAGGUUGAGGGUGCAAUUGGGCUCAUUUCUGGCCGAAGAUAUCCAAUUCUUCUCGUAAGACAAGCCUUAUAACAAUAUCAUAAAUUUAGGUCCACAAAACCAGCCAGCCCAAUUGCAUUGCUGGUCGAAGGUCGUAUAUCCGCCCCCUGCGACAUCUAGGGUUCUUAUUUUAUUUCCUUGAUGGCAAUCAAGAGGAUAGCCGAGCUGGUGGUAGUUCGAAGCCCUUUGUUAUAUACUUAUAUCUACAAACCUCUUCUUCUUUUCUAACCCAAUUUGAUAAUUUUGAUUUCUCUGAAAAAAUAAUCGACAAUUUUGGUUCGCGUGCUUCGCGCAGGUGAAGCCAGAGUCUCUCUUGCCCUCUGUCUCGUUUAAUAGAGGAUCCUGGAGAAACAUUAAGCAUUUGGGCCUGCCCUUGGGCUCUAUGGGUUUCGGCCUUUUCUCUAUAUCUGGAAAAAAGGAAAAGAAAAAGAAAAGCUAUAGAAAUGUAGAAGGUUUGCCUUUAGCUUAGCCAAUCUUGUUAUCAGCCCAUCAAGCCCCAAGCUGCAAAUUAGAAAUUUACUUGCACAAAAUUUUCAGCAGUUUGAGUUGGUUUCAAAUUUCAUGCUUGCAUGUUUUAGUGAGACAGGCGAUUAAGAUAAUGUGAACUAUUGUAUUUAGUUACUCAACGUACCGUCCUUUAUAAAUGAUUCUGCCUGUUUCAAUCAAUAAUAUGUACCUUCUCAAUGUUUCAUACAAUUACCGGCCCUUGUCUGAUUGCAAAGCUCGAGUUCUUAGAAUCAAAUAUCAUAUAUAUGGCAACUAUGCAAUGGCCAUAGUGUAUGUUGCUGCAGUAGCUUUUUAUUUUUGCUGUUUCUGAUAGAAAGGAUUCGUACACAAUAAGCUGCAUGUUGGAGUGUGGCUCUUUCUCAAAUACCUCUAACCAUCAAGAAUUUUAUCAGCUUGAUAACUUGGCACUUUGUCUCUUUUCCUUUUUUUUCCUUUUUUUUUUUGGUUGUUGGGGGGGGGGGGGAGGAGGGGGCUAAGACGGAGGAAUCACAUUAUUUUAAUAUAAAUAUGUCCAAAAAAAUCAAAAAAUAAAAUAUCAUGAAGGGCCAUCGAAGCUGAUGUCAAGUCAGUCACAGCACCUCACCAUAAUGCUCGGCCAUAAAGGAGACCACUCAGUCUGCAGUCCGUUUGCCUCACAGUAGACAUAUCUCGUGAAGAAUGAAGUGCCUUCCCUCGCUAGUCUCCAAAUGUCUAGCAAAAGAGGGUAUGCGCAUACCCCUCUCGCCGUUUCUGGAUCCAACCAAUCAUCAUAGUAGAGUCACCCUCAACAUAAAUGAAAUCGAUCAUCAAGACUCGCCGUGCAUAGUUAACGCCUGUCUAAGCUGCCUUCAGUUCUGCUUCGAGGACUGAGGUAUCAAAGAUCGGACGCCCGCCGCCAUUAUGAGCUUAGAAUCUAGGCUUCUAAUCACAAACAUUGCUUCACCUCUACUGCCACUAUCAAUCAUAAUGUCGUCAAAGUUAACUUUGAUGAAACUCAAGAUGGGGGCCCUCAAAGUGAUGAACACUAUCCAGGUCAUUGCAAGAGCUAAAGAGGUGUCUCAAAUAUCCCAAGCUGAGUCAUAGGCCCUCCAACAACAUGUGAGUAGGCGAUUUCAACAGCUUGUACCAAAGCCCUCUCCAAAAUGAAUCUUGAUAGUUGAAUGCUAUCUUCAAAAUUUCGAGCAUUCCUAGCCAGCUAAAUAUGAUAGGCAACAAAGAUAGCCCUAAUGUGGGGAGGAAGAGAAGAGCAUGACGGAGGCCAGUAGAUGACCAAUGAGCUGCACAGAGGAGGUGGAGGGGCUCUACCUCUGGGAACCAAAGGCGGAGCCCCUCCUUUGCUGGGUUCUCCGGCCAGCCUCAACCUCUUUCUCUCUUUCUUCCUCUCUCUUUCUCUCCCUCCCCCCCUCUCUCUCUUCUCUCCUUCUCCCCAUUGGUCACCGGUUUCUUAUUUUGGUUGUUGGAACCGUCCCGAUUCGCCGGCAGUACAGCUCGGUAUGCUCCUUUCCAGGCAAUUCGGGACGAUUCUACCGGCCAUGGCUUGAGUUAUCACGGAAUAGAUCAACGAUGUAUAAAAUUAGGAUAAAGAGGGGAUAAAAAAUUCCACCAAACCUCAACUUUAAUACCAUGUUAAUUAACUAAUUGAUCCGGAGGCAUUGGGAACAAAAGAUCAACAUUGUAUAUCAAAUUUAAUAUUAAAAAAGAGGUAGAAGUUUAAUAUAAAUAUUCCACAUAAAUGACUUUCUAUAUAUACAUAUAAGAGAGAGAGAGAGAUCUUACAUUAUUUUAUAAAUGUUUAUCAGAUGUAAGGUUGUUCAUGGAGGAUGACUCAAUCAAGAACUGGAGUACAGCAAAACACGAUACUCAUUUAGGUAUACUAUUUCCAUUAUCAAACUUCAAUUAUUUAUUCAUGUAGAUAAGCUGGAGAGGAAAAGAAAAUAUAACACCUGGACACAUAGAUUAAUACAAACAACAGAAGACUGCCUUCAGCUCUUAAUGAUCAGAUAAGAAGUGUGAAAUGGUGGACUUCCAGAAACCAUAUUGCUUUUCUUCUUGAAACAGCACCUGAAUGGCUCCCCCCGUGGUUGCAAGGGUUAUCAAGUGGAAGCAGUUGCCAUCCUUGGUGAAGGCACUAUCUUUUAUGCCCUCCAUUGCAUCAAAUAUCCUAUCUGAAAAGAAAAAUCUUAGGAACCAAAGAAAAAGAAGAAAAAUAAUCAUAGUGGGACAUAUUAUUAGAGGCAACCAGACUUGCCCACGGAUUACAGGCAUACAAUAUUACGUCCCUAAAUAAUUUCCAGAAAGUCAUGUUACUUGCAGAUUUCAUGAAAACUCAUGAACCUUGAAUAAAUUCUUCACAAACUAUUAACAAAAUUCUCACAACUUAAGAAUAAAAUACACUCAAACUAUUGAUGACGAUGUCAUUUGAUGUGGCUUCUUCGUCUGCGAUAUUUACAUUCAAUAUUUUUCUUUUUCGGUGAUGAUGCCACACUCUAGGUUUGAGCCCGAGACCUCUCACCAGUGGAGACGAGUGCCAACAGCUAGACUGAAGAUACGAAGACUACAUGCAGUGGUUAUAAACAUAUCAAACUUUUUCUCCUAAUUUUCUGUUCUAUUUUAUCAACUUCUUCCAAAUUCAGGUUUUUUCUUUUUUUACUUAGUUCAAGUUGUUUCUGACUUUAAUCUACUGAAGGAGAUAUUGUAGGAACUGUAGUUAAUGCACUAAUCAUUAAGUAGCCAUUCUUUCAAAAAAGAAUAAUAGUUAUGUAACCAUGAAAAAUGCAGGCCAGAACCUGGAUAUAAGAUGAUGGAUGUUUAGCUGUUGCUGCCAAAAUUGUCAUGGUAUGAAAUCAAUCCUACUGUUAUCUAUGCUGAUGCAAGUACUGGCUAAAAUGACUAUUUGAUGAUUAGUAAUAUGAUAUUCUUGAAUUAGGUGAUCAGCCCAGCCUCUUCAGAGUAUUUAUUUUGAGUAGAAAAAAUACGGAUAGCCUGGCCCAAUUUGAAUUCCAAUGAAGAACAGGGGAAAAGAAAGAACCCUAGCUAGUCUCCAAUGCUAAGUGACAGGAAAUUACAAGCUAACAUAUAAUUUACACCAAUCAUUACAGUACCUAAUAGAGCGUUAUGCACUAGAAUCAAGAAGAGGAACAUGACCUUACACUCCUUAAAUCUUGUAAAAACUCCAUGCAAAUGCUUCUUUCCUAAUCUCAGUGUGAGUUUAUUAUGCUUCAGGCAGACGCACACCAUCCUAAGUUGAACCCUCCCUGCGUGAAGCCAAAUCAUAUGAAAAUUCAAACCUCCAUAAGGUCUAUUGAAGGUAAAGGAGUUUAGAGCGUGCAAAAAGUUAGAUACUUGUAAUAUAUUUUAAGGAACAAAAUUUAACAAACGCUAAGGUACGUGCGAAUAAGAUACAAGAAAGCAAACGUUGUUACUAGCACCUACCAGAAGGCAUAAUAAUUAAGAGUUCACUGCCUCUUGCAAGGAUAUUAUGAUCCUCUGAUGAAUUCGCAUGAGCCACUGUUCUCAGCUUAAGUGUUGCAGCUCCUCUUAGACCUAUACUCAUCAGAGAUAUUAAGGCAAAUUAAGAUAGUUUUGAUUGAGUUAAAAAGUACUGUUAAAAAGUAAGCUAAAGACCUAUGAACUCCAAAAAUUCAGCUUAAAAACAUGGAUCAUCUUCGAGACAAUUUCUGGAUAUUAAAAAAAAUGGAUGCUUGUAUUUGUAAAUUUUCUGGCUUUCUGGGCAAAAUCAGAAAUUAUCAUGAUUUUUCAGCAAAAAAUAGAAAAGGCCAAAAAGUCUUCAAAACCUUGUUCAUAACUCUAAGAUUUGGUGCUUUGUCCUGAGCAUAAAAAAUACAGGAUGCGUAUAAAUUAAUCAUGCUUAUGCAAUAUAGCAAUAUGACAUAACAUAUCUUAGAAAUUAGCAUUAUUUCGUUGCUUGUCGAUCUUGUGUUUGCGUUGUCAUCUAUCCAACUGUAGAGUAUUACAUGUUGCAGCAGUUGCAGUAUGUGUGAGCAUAUCAGCGAAUGUCCGAGUUGCCAGGCCUGUGCUGACGACCGAUGCAACAUGAGCUCUAUUUGCACCCACAGACUCAGCUGCUUCAGCGCACACAGUCGCUACCAACGCUGCAGCAGAAGCAACCACUGUGCUCAUCUCCUUACCCCAAUCUCCUCCCCCACUGUGGAUGCUCAGGUCCUUUGAAUUACUUGGUUCGAAGCUGCAAUUGGCCACAAUUCCUGCGAUGCCCGCGGCCAGCCUUGCGACAGAUAAAGCUGCAUGGACUUGAGCCACUUGAAGUCGCAGCUCCUCCUUCCUCUUCAUUUUACUUCCUCUCAACAAGCUGCUGAUAGGUUCGCCACCUAGCCAUGCCUUUAUAAAUUUCCCAUUGGUCUGUGCCAAGGCACAAGGUUACAAGGUGGUCAGAUCAAGAAGAGAUUCUGGAAUUUUUUGAAGCUUUUUUUUCUUACCCAUUUUCUAUAAAUUCUAUGUGUUUGAGGAGAUGUUGGGGCAAGCUUUGCACUGGAAAGUACUGUCUGGAAAGAUCAAUAAAGCAAGAACAUUAUGCAGGUAGAGUUGGAUGUAUUUGGGACUUAUAUAACACUUGCUGCAUGGUCUUCAUACCCAUAUUUGGUCCACACUCCUAGUGCCUGUUCCUCCAUUUAAAUGGACCUUGUUCUCCGAUUCUAGCUCCUCUAAUUCUUCAUCAUGCUCCACUGGCCUACAGUCCUCGAGCCGUGGCACUAGGUUCUACAUCAAAAAUUAAGGCUGUCAAUAUGAAUACCCCAUCUCGAUUAUUUUUAGUAGUCACUGGAUAAUCUGUAUUCUUCAGGUACUUCAGACUUUGUUGUCACUUGAAGGAGCAACUGCAAAAUGUGGUCUGUGGUUCAAAUAUUCAUAUCUACUUAGACAACUGUAACACUGUAUAGAGUUCUGAGAUUAUCUUUACAAAGUCAGUCGAUAGACAGAAGCAUAAACAAAACAUUUUGAGAAUGUGCAAGUAGCUUCAUUGUGCUGGACUAAAGCUUCGAUCUAUGACUAACUGGAACCAUAAUGUGCGGUUAAGAAAGAACCAAUAAUAUGGGAAACACCACAUGGCAUUACUUCAUGUGCACUGCUCCUCUCCUAGGUUUUCUUGAGUCUUGUAUCCCCCCCUUAAGCUUCGUAAUUAGUCUAAUAGAUAUGAAUAUUUAAUACGCUUGCAAGACUGCUGCCACAGAACAGUACCAUACAGUACUCCGGAAGAUAUAAUAAACAGAACUUCUUCACUUACAUUUGAUGAGAGUAUUUGAAAGAAGUCAGAGGAAGAUGGGCUCCAGGUUCUAGAGAGGAACUCCAUAACCCGAUGAGGACUUUUCGGGACCUCCAAGCGAUGAAAGCAAGCCAACUGCUGCGAUUUCUCUCUAGACAACCCCACAGCUUUGUGUUCACGUGUCUUCUCCAUUCUCUCGUUCUACAGCACACCGAAAGCAGAUUAAAGGCCAAAGAGCAAAGUAAUUAUUAUUUUUCGUGGGAUUUCCACACAACUGAAAUGAAAUCCUUCACCAGUCAAUAACUUAAUAUCCUUUUAUGCCUUCAGUUAUUCAAGAUAAAUUCUCUUUUAACUGCAAAUAAACUCCUCGUCGAAAGAAAUAUACUGAAUCGGGUCUUAGAAAUUAUAUAUAUAUACACUUAAGCAAUUGAACUAGAGUAGUAAUCGAGAGACGUUAAAUAACUAUUAUUGACAUCCUCACCAUCGGAGAAGGCAAUGAAGAAUGUCUCGAGAAAGAGACCUUUCCAAAUUUUAUUCCUCUUCUGGGUUCCUCCAUGUGCGAACCAGUUAGACCUGUGGGAGUGCAAAAACUAUGGAGCUGGAAGCUUGAACAACAACUAGCACAUAGCAUCAUAAAUUUCUUGAAGAAAUUGAUUAAUAAAUAAUAUGAAGUUCAGAAUAUCAAAUUGAUGCCAUUACCCAACCCAAUGCCUACAUAGAGAACGUAUGUUCUGUCAAUAACCAUUUCUUCUCGUAUGGGUGGCCCAUCCGCAUUAUAUCGAAGCCACAAACAAUACGAUGCCAACGCUCACCAUUAAACAUUUGCAUGGGUAAAAGCAACAGGGAAAACGAUUGGAGAUCGAAAAAAUAUAGGGGGAUGACAUGUUGAUAUGGGAUUCUUUUCUCUGUUUGAAAUAGCUUGUUGCAUUAAUCACGGCACAAGAAGUCAAGAACACAGUAAAAAGAGGGACAUGAAAGACUAAAGGGUUGGCGUCUGAAAAUAACCAUCCAGCAAAUAAAAAACAGUGGCGGCAGCCCUCCACAAGCAAACCACCAUGAAGACCAACACCACCACCCCAUGGUUUCCUCAAAAGGAAGCUCAUGAGCGUAAAAAACAUGCUCUAUAACGAGCUAAUAUUAAAGGAAGAAAUCCAUCAUUCACAGUAGAAGAAUAAAGAAAACUUACUCAAAAUGGAAGUAUCUAAGCAUGCCAAUGGACGGAGUACCUUCUUGCCCGACGCGUGCUCCUUGAAUGGUCCUUAUAUACAUUCUAAAAGAAGAAGGCACAGGGAAAGCACGAGACAUGCUUACGUGAACCUUAAUCGUACUAAGGCGUUGUUUAUUACAUCAUGUUAUCCAGCUCCUCUAAACUAAGUGAAGUAAAUAACAUCCCGGGGAGGUCGUCUUUUUUUUUUUAAAUUUCUUUAUGACAAUUUGGGUUGUGUUACUUGUGUAUCCACCCCUAGGCCAAGAGUUCCACUCCCACUCCUACUUCGUCUCUCAUGAGACGUGCAGCAAGUAUGCUGAAUACCGGCACUACAUAAACAUCGAUGCAGUCACCAAACCUUGUCCGGCCGGCAAGGUUUUAGAUGCGCAUAAUUAAUUUAGCAAACUUUUAUUCAUAAUUGUUCAGAAUCCAAACAAUAAUAUGAUUGGUGCAGAAAUGCCAUCACAAAAUUAAUUUGCUGUGCUGAAGUAGAGUAAUAUUGGAUCAAAGAUGACGGUCCCUGUGUCCCUCACAAUAUAUUAAUUGUAUAUUACUUGAGAGGAAACCUAAAACAAAGCCAUGGCUAGCUAUGACUUGCAUGCAAGUUAAAUUUGUUUUUAUUUUUUUAAGCAAAACGGUGGGGAACGCACCACACGUCUCAUCAGGAAAAUGAAAUGGGAAAGUUUAGCGAUCUUCUUACGCUUUCGGUGCCGCCGAUGAAGCACAACAGGAUUGCAGAAAAUAAGAAGCUUCAGUCAACUGCAACCCAGCUACAAGGAUUCUUUAGUAGGCACGAGCUCGGUGGAUGCACCUAACAAAUACUGCUCGCCCAGCUUAUUGGCAUCAUCCUCCAAUCUGAAGUCGGCCACAUGAACGACGAAAGCAACUAGGCAAGUGACGGGAUGCGUGCGGAGUUAGUCUGGAACCAAAUUUCCCAAAUGAACUGUAUUUAAAUACGUAAAUCAUAUGGAUCGAGGCCUUCCCAGCUCAGUAAUUGGAGCCAGACCACGUGCCCAUGAUCCCCAAUGGACACCAGGCUCGACGCGCCAUCAGGACUGGAUCCUAGUUUCGCGUCGUCCGAGAGAGGGACCACUCCAUUGUUUGAUCGGCUGGCGAAGACCACUCUUGCGGCCUACCACUGAAAUUUUUUAAUCACCAAGGAAGCACCUCAUUUUUAUCAUUGGAAAGACGAAUUAUUGGGGGACAUUAACGAUUGCCGUCUCCUCAUAUGAGAGAGAUCCCUGCUGCGGUCUUGCCUUCAAGCUGGUAUCCCAAUUGUUUUCGCAUAGAUGGAAGUGUCUUUUAAUGCAAGCCCUUUGCACCCUGCGCUGUCUUCUAAUACCCUGCUGAGGAUGAGCGAAUCCGCUAUGAACCGUAGGAUAUGUACACCUCUCCAACUCAAGCUGCCGGUCCAGUUAUAACUCACAGAAACUCCAAUCUCCAUAGGAAACAAUAAGGUUUUUGUUCACGCAAUGGCAAUUUAAGGUGCUGGACCAGUUAUAGCUUACUGAAAUUGCUCACAGAUAUGAACACUUCGUUGGAUUUCUACAUGGUCGAUCGGAGAAGAUAUACAGUACAGCCUUCAUGAAGUAACUCGGUGCGCUCCCCUGGAAAUUUUCUUGAAAUAAUUUCUGAAGAGGACUAUCCUGUGGCUCUAAUCGGAAACAAGAGGAAUAAGUGGGUCUAGCAUCUCGAGAUGGGCACGUGGUUUACACAAAUCAGACGACUAGCCAAUUAGCUUGAGACAAGCUUGGCUGAAUAAAAGAGUGGUAAAACUAACAUAAAAAUCUCGCAGAUUAGUACAGCACCUGAGCAUACUUGAUUUUAAAAUGUUCCUCCUCUUAUGAGCAGCCUGUCAUGUAAGCAAACUGGCGGCUAACGUGUAGUACAACCAGCAUGUACCAGAAAAAAACAGAGUAGUACAACGAGUAAUGCAAACAGAAGAGCUACAAAUCAUAAUUAUGCAACUUCUCCUUGCAUAUGAUUUCUGUUUACACCUUUGUAGCUUUUAACAUAAGCUUUCAUAAAUUUGGUUUUUGAUAAAAAUUAUAAGUUACUUCCUCCCCAUUUCGUAUCUUCUUUCAGUUGUUCUCUCCUAUAAAGAACAGAUGCCAACCCUUAAACGCAGCAAGAUUUUCAUUGCAGUUUCAUUAUGCACAACUCUGACCUUCCAGAGAAUCACAGCAUUUUUCAACAUUCUUUUAGUAAAGAGCAUUUUUCGACACUAAAUCACUUACAGGACUGACAUGUGUGACAUCUUUAAAUCAGGCAUCACUUGCUAGGUCAUGCCAUUUCAUCUGAUGGAGACUCUUAAAAAAGUGAAUAUCUUUGGUCAUGGCAGAUGAGGCAAGCCCUGAGAGAAUAAUAUUGCCUGUUUAUCAUAACCUAUUGACAAUCAUUUUCUUGUUAUUAUAAUUUGUUACACAUCAUGCUAAUGGAGUGGGAUGGGCGACACCCUGUGCAGAGCCUCACUAAUUCGCUUGGAAGUUCGAGUUUUAUAGCAGAACAGUUUACUGUUAUGAUAAUCAUCAAGGAAUAGAUAUUACUUAGCUACAUGUAUGGCUGAUCAAUAAUAUAAUUUCAGUUAUCUACUAAUGACUUUCUAAUAAAAAUAAAUAGCAAAAUCUCUUUUAUAGGAGAAUUGUUUUUAUCAUGGCAGCCUUCACUAAUAAUCAACAGAGAAGGUAAUUUUAUGCAAACUAUUUUUAUUGGUGACAUGAUUGAGCCCAGUAUAGUAUUAAUCUUACUAGAGAACAUCAAGCAAAAAAAGACAAAAGAAUAAUGACAUCAAGAAUAUACAGAAAUAUUCUGGUUGUUGUUAAAAAAAUUUACUCCAGAAUAAUGUUAAUAUGCUGGGGAAACGAGAGAGGUAACAAACAGCUGGAUUCUCUGAAACUCAUUUUUGAAAUGAAAAUACCAGUCGUAUCCAUCAGGGCAUGGCCAGCAGCUUAAAUUUUUGUACAAAGUGUCCUUUCAAUCAAAAUUAACUAAGAAUCAAAGCUUGAGUGAGUAAUACUGUAAUACUGUUACGCCAUCCAUUUAUGCAUCCAACCCCUAAGAUAUGAGCUACAAUAAAGUAUAGAACAGAGUCCAUUCUCAUGGUACAUUUCCUCGCGAACAAACAUUCGAUCAGUGCAGAGAAACAAAAUGAAAUAAUGUCUCAAAUACAAAUAUCAGACUAUAAUAAUUUUUUUGUCCACAAAUCAAAGAAAAAAGUCCACAAUCUAUUUGGUCAGAAUUAGAAAAAUGAUGGGUUUGUUCAAUGUUUACGCAAGCCAAUCAAAGCAAAAUAGAAUCAAAGUGGCAAAGAUCUAAAAUCAAUGAGCUAACUCAAUGAGUUUGCCUAUUCAAAUUCGGAUGCUAGAGAAUAAGUAAUCCAGGCAAAAAAAAAAUCGGACUUCCAACUAAGUUUAGUAUCACAACUCUCAUGGCUGAAAAGAGAGGCUAAGGGCAUAGAAAUUACGUGAACAUGACAGUACCUUCCUUCACUCACGCCUCUUGGCUCAAGCAACUGGUUUAUGUUGGAAAUAUGAGAUUAAAACAACAACCCUUUGGAAACCUUGCAUCCUAUCAUAUGCCAAUAAGCAGGCAUGCAAGCCCUCGACCUUGUAUGCCCGAUGAGCUCCAUGACAAAGGAUACUGCAACUGUGGUAGACCUGACUAGAGAAUAAAAGAAAUCAUGAAUUAGUGGUUUCUCAGACUAAGCCAAUAAGGUAUAUAGUUAAGGCUAACUAUAAAUGUGAGAUUUCUUACCAUAAUGAGAAAAAAAUGCCUAUUGAGAAGGCAUGAAAAUCAUAAUAGGUCUGCAAUUUUUUUGAUGAUGCCUCAUACUUGCCUAUUGACUCCAAUUAUAAAAAAUAACUUAGGAAGAGAGAUGGUGCUCAGUCCUUUCUGUAAACCAAGGUUGGAUAGACUGGAUUCCACAUGUUGUGUAACAACCCAGGACCUCACCCAAAAUGGCUAGCCGGAAGGUAUUAUUUGGGUUCCUUGAUCCUGUAUAAGUACCCAAUAUCUACCCAGCAAAUAACCGAUGUGGGACUAAACACACGCCCACACGAGUCCUCACAUACUCCACCCCUUCAAGCUCUGACGUCCUCGUCAGGCUAAGGGUUCAAAUCCAUUCAAAUCUAAUCACAAGCACCACGAACAGUCCGCGGUCAGCCCCAAUAGAUCUAUGCUGCAGUGUCCCUUAAUUCACAUAGAUUAUGGGCCAGGUCCGUUCUAAUNNNNNNNNNNNNNNNNNNNNCUAAGGGUUCAAAUCCAUUCAAAUCUAAUCACAAGCACCACGAACAGUCCGCGGUCAGCCCCAAUAGAUCUAUGCUGCAGUGUCCCUUAAUUCACAUAGGUUAUGGGCCGGGUCCGCUCUAAUACCAUUUGUAACAAUCCAGGACGUCACCCAAAAUGGCUAGCCGGAAGAUAUUAUUUGCGUUCCUUGAUCCUGUAUAAGUACCCUAAGAUCUACCCAGCAAAUAACCGAUGUGGGACUAAACGCACGCCCGCACGGAUUCUCACAUGUUAUUUGUUACAUUAUGUUACAGUUUCCUCCUCCACAUCGGUAUUGAUGUUAGAAAGAAAGCAAAAUAACUUGAACUUACUGACAGGAUUACAAACAUCCAUCACCAGGCAUGAGCAAACAAGCCUUUAAAUUAAUAUUGUAAGAUGUACAACAAACCUGGAUAUUGGAGGGUAUAUGAUACCCUCAAGAACCUCCUCUUCUUUCAUAUAUGAAGCCAAGCUGUGAAAGGUUUCAUGAUUGAAGUAACAAAACGACAUUUAUACAAUGAAUCUUUGCAAGCAAAUGAAUAAAAUUUUACGAAGAAAGGUUACUGAGAGUCUAAUUCUGGCAUGCCAUCAGAGAUAACCUGUGCAUCAGACAAAAGGUUACCAAGGCCUAUGCUGCAUGACCAUGUACAUGAUCAUUCAGAAGGAAAAGUAAGCAAACUGACAUGGUCAAAGGAGAAGAGGGAAUAUACGUAACCCAGGAAACAGAUACAUGUUAUUUCUCUGGUUGGAGCAGCCAAUCUUACCAUAUCCUACAAAAGGAAACCAGUUUAUAAGCUUAAGAAUUUAGCUUCUUAAAAAUAAUGAUCAACAAGUUUACAGUGAUAUUUACAUAACAAAAAAUAUCCAUGUACUCUAGCUCUCACUUGCUGAUCUUUAGUAGCUGCUAAUGUGAUAGAAGGCAAACCAUUGCUUCUAUUAGAGGGACACCUGCCUAUGGCCAAUAGUUAUCCAAAAAAACUAAUGAAGCAAUAUUUCUCUUCUGACAUCUUAUAGAUGGUCAAAAUCACAGAAAUAUAAGAAUUCAAAGAAAGAUAUCCAGCCAAAUGAAUAAAUUACAAUCAUUAAAUCCAUAUAAUGCUCAGGAGUAAGCCCAUCCACUAGGUGCUCCCACAAUUGGCUACAUGGAAUUGACUGGUUGAUUACCGACGGCAACAGAAACUAGGCAGUUUGAGAUAGCCCAAAUGCCUGAGUACUGAGAUAGAGGUACCAUCAUAUCUUUAACUCACAAGCUAUGCUAGUAAAACAGCCCAACUUUUCAUCUUCUAAUAGAAGGAUUUAGUGGGCAAGUGAAAAAUACUCCAAGCAUCACGUAAUAACAUCCUUUCAAGUUUUUCAUACAGACAAUCUAACACAUCAAAUCAUCAACUUUCAUUAGAUUCUAUCCAAAACUUGAUUAAUAUACGAAUAAAUUUUCAGCAUGAACACUUCACUAGACAUAUUUGUUAAAUGAUUCAUUGAAGGGUUAAAAAAAAUGAAGGUGAAAGAAGACAACAAGAAAUAAAAGGUGGGAAGAGGACAAAGAGAUAUUAUUUACAUCGAAGACAGGUUAACACACAAUUAUAUUGAUCCACUGAUCUGUCAUUUAAAUCCCCAUGACAACUGAACUUAAAAAGACAAUCAUCAAAUCUCAUAUCAAAAUGACUACAGUAUAAGAUCAACUAAUUUCAAGGGGCCCUGCUAACAAGUAUAAAUCUUGGGGAAGCAAACAACUUUGGCAAGUCAUAAUCCUUAAAAAAUAAUAUUAUCAACUUCCCUUCUGAUUCUCUUUGAAACACUAAGAUCUUUUUUUAUCCAUAUUCCUACAUCCCCUCCUAAAGUUGAUUCUCAUAUUAAUAAUUUUUUCCCUUGCACAUGUCUAUAUUCCACUUCUGCCUGUGUCUUGCAUUUUUGCUUUCUACCAACUAUUCUCUUUAGGCACAAGUUAACAUAUUUUUGGAUGAGAAAAUACAACCUAGAACUUAUACUAAUUUUUUAGGCUAACAUUGACAGCAGGCUUAUAAGGGUACAAGUUAGCAUUGCAAACAGCAAAACCACAUUUUUCAGAGUAUAGAGUCAAUCAAAAACAAACUGUAUUAACUCCUACUCUGAUACCUAGAACUCAUUUAUCCAUUUGCAACUCUUUCAUUCCAGUAUCUAAUUCAAAAAUUAAAAGAAAUAUCACGAUGUUGCAAAUCCUUGGACUUCAUUAUAGAACAUGGAGAGCAGUUGAUUGAAACUGGUGCCUUGUAUAUCAUCAAACGGAAAGCCUGUGAGUAGACAUGAUGCAGGCCAAAUUUUGCUAGGAUGGCCUUGGAUUUUUGACAAGAGAGGAGUGCAUUUAAUAAGGGAAAUACUUUCAUCUUUCUACACCAAACAUGUCAAACUACACUUACACCAAAGAGAAAGAAGAGCACCAAGGAAAGAUGUUUUCUUGGAUGGUUUGGGCUAAUUAUCAGAGCUGAAUUUCUCUCAGCAAAGCGAAUUGAUAUAGUUAAAGUUGAAGAUUUCAUAGUGAAACAAAGGUUAUUUGGGCAAAAGAAAGUCUAAAAUUAAAUAUUUGCAUUUUUUUGUUUUUAGUUAGUUAAAGUCACAUGUUUAAGUCAUUAGGAAAUAUCUAGUUUGUCAAUCUUCUAGGAGAUUGUCAGGCCUAAUUUUGGGCCUAUUUUGUAAUCUGUUUUUGAGUCCUAGUUUAAGUAGGAAUGUCAUCCUAGUUGCAUUAGAAAAAAUUUAGAAUCAUCAAGAUUGUAAUUUGAAAAGAUUUUCAUGAUCUUUUAUGAAGGGUCCUAUAGUGCAACGAAUUUUACCAUUUUAGGAAAGUGUUUUGGCUUUUCAUUUUUUUGCUAGGAAAGUGUAGAAAAGAAUCCUUCUUCUACAAGCCCUAUUUUAGGAGUAUUAGUGCAGUCUAGAGUUAUAAAAGGGGGGUAGCUUGCCUAGUUGAAUUCAUUCUUGCAUAGAUUCAUAAAAAAUUUCAGAAUUUUCAUUCUUCUUCCUCUUUCUUUCUUUUCUUUCGACUUUUGGCUGGUUUCCUUUAGCUUGCGGCUUGUUCUUUGCAUCUGGAAUGUCAUCACAUCCCAUUGUGCAGGUUUUCUGCACCUUGUCUUGAUGUUCUCAGAUCCCAUCCGAGAAUACAGGUCGUACAAUUGUCAUGGGUCAGUCUUGGAAGGACCGAUCUGCAUCACAUGGCAGGCAUAAAAUGCCUAUUUUGUGUCAUUUUACAUUUAAACAAUCCACAUAAAGAGACGAAUUUUGUUCUUCAGUGGCUAUCACAUAGAAAAUUCUAUUAAAAAAAAUGUAAAUUUAGGGCCUUGGACCCUCGAGCGAUAGCUUUAACAGGUCUACGUUGUAAUUUGCCUUCCUUUUUCUAUCUUCUAAAUACAACGUAUUACAUGUUCUUGCCUGUCCAUUAAGCAUUUUCUACCUCUAUUAAUUUCAACAUAUAAACAAUGCUCUUCUGACAUUUAUCACAAACAAGUAAACUUCUGAGGUUUCUUAUAUUUCUUAUAUUACUUCCUCAUCUCCUGUUAUCCGCAUAAUGAGACGAAGAAUGAUCGGGCAAGAGAUUUUACUCCAUGUCUGCCAUGGAUAAGAAGCAAAGGUUGCCAAAUUAUAGUGUUGAUUUAUUCCCUAACCACAUGUUCUUUGCCAUUUUGAAUUUGAGCAAGCAAAAUGUCAUCAUUCCCUUCACCAAUUCUCAUUUCAGCUCCUGAUCUUAAUAUCUAAGUGUUAGACACUUAAUUUGCAUCCAAAGUUCUAGAAUCUUGUCAUGCAAUAGUUUUUUCCCCCUCACACACCCAUGAAUUCACCAAUGAGCUGUCAUAAAUCAAAUCACUAUAACACCGAAUCAGUGAAAAAGGAAAAAGAUUAUGCAAGCAUUGUGAUCUAUGCCAGAGGAUGAGGAGACCGAGCAAAGGUGGUUGAAAGGUAUCAGCAAAACAAAUAACACUCUUGCAUCUUCACUUCACUUUGCGUCACAUCCUAAAAAAUAUCAAGAAUAUCUGCAUAGACCAUAUUAGUGCUUGGAAUUUGUAGAUGGUUCUUGGACAUGUAUAGUAUAUAUGAUGUUNNNNNNNNNNNNNNNNNNNNNNNNNNNNNNNNNNNNNNNNNNNNNNNNNNNNNNNNNNNNNNNNNNNNNNNNNNNNNNNNNNNNNNNNNNNNNNNNNNNNNNNNNNNNNNNNNNNNNNNNNNNNNNNNNNNNNNNNNNNNNNNNNNNNNNNNNNNNNNNNNNNNNNNNNNNNNNNNNNNNNNNNNNNNNNNNNNNNNNNNNNNNNNNNNNNNNNNNNNNNNNNNNNNNNNNNNNNNNNNNNNNNNNNNNNNNNNNNNNNNNNNNNNNNNNNNNNNNNNNNNNNNNNNNNNNNNNNNNNNNNNNNNNNNNNNNNNNNNNNNNNNNNNNNNNNNNNNNNNNNNNNNNNNNNNNNNNNNNNNNNNNNNNNNNNNNNNNNNNNNNNNNNNNNNNNNNNNNNNNNNNNNNNNNNNNNNNNNNNNNNNNNNNNNNNNNNNNNNNNNNNNNNNNNNNNNNNNNNNNNNNNNNNNNNNNNNNNNNNNNNNNNNNNNNNNNNNNNNNNNNNNNNNNNNNNNNNNNNNNNNNNNNNNNNNNNNNNNNNNNNNNNNNNNNNNNNNNNNNNNNNNNNNNNNNNNNNNNCAAAAUAAAAUUGGAGGUGCGACGAGAACGGAGGUUUGUGCCUUAUUGAACCAGGGAUCAUGAAGGAUGUCGACGCUCCGCUUGUGGACGAUGGUGGGCCGGGAGCCCUCGGUGGUGGUGAAGUAUCUCGCCGCCGCCGCCUUAGACGCCGGGAGAGAAAGGAUGAGAGGGGACGCCGGAGGUGCGGCCGCAACGGGAAGAUCGCCAUCUUCACCGGCCGUGGGUAUUUUUCUGGGGUGGGAUUUGGGUUGGGGGCGGGGAGUGGAAUGUGUGAAGAAGGGACCGGGUUAGUCGGGUCGGCAUGAACACCCAAGUUACACUUAGCGCUAGUUUCUUGAUCCUAUCUAAUACAUGACUAAUUAAUUAAAUAAAUAAUUAGGGACUUAUCUUGAUUUAGAGAUAGAUCAGAGCAUAAAUUUCUUUGCUCAACGAAUUCUUUCACAGUUGAUUGCACCCCGAUGGAACAAAAUAAAAAAUUAUAAUAAUUAUAAUUAAUGGUGGAUUAAUUUAAGAAAGAGAAGAAGAGAACAUAACUAGCGAGAUAAUGGUGUCCGCCGGUCCAAGUAGUUCAUAUAUGGACAUCAACUCACCAAAUCAAAGAAUCAGAUGUUUAAUUGGGAUUGGGGUAACUUAUGAGGUGUUGUUGAUGAUAGAUCCAUGGAUGACAGACGAAAACUGAGACGGAGGCUAGCACGAUGAGUGGUUGUAGCAAUACUAGUUCAGAACUCUCUAUUGAGGUCAAGUUGUGAUUC
rnacentral:lncRNA from 1 species